ACCGUAAACUUUAAAGAGGUGUGAGGAGAAGUGAAGGGGCUAAAAUUUUGGGCUCCACAUCGCAUUAGACUCUCGAAGUCCAUAUUUACCGAUGGUCAAAUUUUCAGACCUUUGUCACAAAAUGCACUAUGCAAUCGCUAAGAACCCCCACUAAUAGAACAAAAUGAUAAAUUAAAAUGAAAAAU